rnacentral:rRNA from 1 species
UACGGAGGGUGCAAGCGUUAUCCGGAUUCACUGGGUUUAAAGGGUGCGUAGGCGGGCAGUUAAGUCAGUGGUGAAAUCCUUGGGCUCAACUCGAGAACUGCCAUUGAUACUAUCUGUCUUGAAUAUUGUGGAGGUAAGCGGAAUAUGUCAUGUAGCGGUGAAAUGCUUAGAUAUGACAUAGAACACCUAUUGCGAAGGCAGCUUACUACGCAUAUAUUGACGCUGAGGCACGAAAGCGUGGGGAUCAAACAGG